UACGUAGGGGGCAAGCGUUGUCCGGAAUCAUUGGGCGUAAAGAGCGCGUAGGCGGCCCGACAAGUCCGCUGUGAAAGUCAGGGGCUCAACCCUUGGAUGCCGGUGGAUACUGUCGGGCUAGAGUCCGGAAGAGGCGAGUGGAAUUCCUGGUGUAGCGGUGAAAUGCGCAGAUAUCAGGAGGAACACCGAUGGCGAAGGCAGCUCGCUGGGACGGUACUGACGCUGAGGCGCGAAAGCCAGGGGAGCAAACGGG
rnacentral:rRNA from 1 species